rnacentral:lncRNA from 11 species
GUUCUUUCUCCCAGCCUGGACAUCAUUCCACAGAUAUAUAAACCCCACAUGCUUAGUUUCCAACAGAUCCUACAAUCUCUGAGGAUGCCUGCCAUAGAUGUGGGUGAAACGUCAGGAGAGAAUGCUUCUGGAACCUGGCCAAACAGCCCGGAAAAUGCACAGCAACCCACAAGUUGUUUUGAUGGAGACAGCGCUGAAAUCUCUGGGAAAUGAAGGUCUUUUCUUGUUCUCUUCCCUGGACACCAACAAUGACUUGUACAUCAGCCCAGAGGAGUUCAAGCCAAUUGCGGAGAAACUUACCGGCAUUGCUCCUGUCUCUGGCACGGAUGAAGAAGAGGUGCCGGAUCCCAACGGAGAGACUCUCUCUAUCCUUGCAAAAUUCCAGCCUCUGCUCAUGGAAACAAUGACCAAGAGCAAGGAUGGCUUCCUUGGAGUUUCUCAUCUUUCCCUUUCUGGGCUCCGCAACUGGACUGCUCCGGCGUCCCCUGUGAGUGUGAUGUUUGCUCAGCAGUUUAAGGCCUUCCUUCCUCCGAAGCAUAAAGUGGAGCUUGCUGAUCCUUGGUGGAUCAUUCCCAGCGAACUCAACAUCUUCACUGGAUACCUUCCCAACAACCGGUUUUAUCCUCCAGCCCCCAGGGGCAAAGAGGUAAUAAUUCACAAGCUCUUGAGUAUGUUCCAUCCCCGGCCGUUUGUGAAAACUCGCUUUGCCCCCCAGGGAGCUGUCGCCUGUAUUCAAGCAGUUGCGGAUUUCUACUAUAGGAUUGCAUUCAGGAUCCAUGCUGAGUUUCAGUUGAACGAGCCCCCGGAUUUCCCAUUCUGGUUUUCGCCUGCACAGUUCACGGGCUACAUUGUCCUCUCCAAAGACUCUUCUCAUGUCCGGGAAUUCAAGCUGUUCGUUCCUAACAAUAGGUCUCUCAACGUAGACAUGGAGUGGCUGUAUGGAGCCCUAGAGAGCAGCAACAUGGAAGUAGAUAUAGGAUAUUUGCCUCAGAUGGAGCUGGAAUCUUUGGGACCGUCUGUCCCUUCCAUCAUCCACGACGAAAAUGGGAAUGUGAUUGACAGCCGAGAAGGGGACCCGAUUCAGUUUGUCUUUGAAGAGAUUGCCUGGCAGAGAGAAAUAAACUGGGAAGAGGCGGUCCGCAAACUGGAAAUUGCCAUGUAUCCGUUUAAAAAAGUUUCCUACCUUCCUUUUACUCGAGCCUUCGAGAGAGCAAAAUCCGAGAGUAAACUUGUGCAUUCCAUAUUGUUGUGGGGUGCGCUGGAUGAUCAGUCCUGCUGA